UACGGAGGGAGCUAGCGUUGUUCGGAAAUACUGGGCGUAAAGCGCACGUAGGCGGCGCAGCAAGUCAGGGGUGAAAUCCCGGGGCUCAACCCCGGAACUGCCCUUGAAACUGCAGUGCUAGAAUUCUGGAGAGGCGAGUGGAAUUCCGAGUGUAGAGGUGAAAUUCGUAGAUAUUAGGAAGAACACCAGUGGCGAAGGCGGCUCACUGGUCCGGUACUGACGCUGAGGUGCGAAAGCGUGGGGAGCAAACAGG
rnacentral:rRNA from 1 species